rnacentral:rRNA from 1 species
AGUCGAGCGGACUUAUGGGAGCUUGCUCCAUAAGUUAGCGGCGGACGGGUGAGUAACACGUGGGCAACCUGCCUGUAAGACUGGGAUAACUUCGGGAAACCGGAGCUAAUACCGGAUAAUUCCUUUCCUCACCUGGGGAAAGGUUGAAAGAUGGCUUCGGCUAUCACUUACAGAUGGGCCCGCGGCGCAUUAGCUAGUUGGUGAGGUAACGGCUCACCAAGGCGACGAUGCGUAGCCGACCUGAGAGGGUGAUCGGCCACACUGGGACUGAGACACGGCCCAGACUCCUACGGGAGGCAGCAGUAGGGAAUCUUCCGCAAUGGACGAAAGUCUGACGGAGCAACGCCGCGUGAGUGAAGAAGGUUCUCGGAUCGUAAAACUCUGUUGUCAGGGAAGAACAAGUAUCGGAGUAACUGCCGGUACCUUGACGGUACCUGAUUAGAAAGCCACGGCUAACUACGUGCCAGCAGCCGCGGUAAUACGUAGGUGGCAAGCGUUGUCCGGAAUUAUUGGGCGUAAAGCGCGCGCAGGCGGUUUCUUAAGUCUGAUGUGAAAGCCCACGGCUCAACCGUGGAGGGUCAUUGGAAACUGGGAGACUUGAGUGCAGAAGAGAAGAGCGGAAUUCCACGUGUAGCGGUGAAAUGCGUAGAGAUGUGGAGGAACACCAGUGGCGAAGGCGGCUCUUUGGUCUGUAACUGACGCUGAGGCGCGAAAGCGUGGGGAGCGAACAGGAUUAG